rnacentral:rRNA from 1 species
ACAUAAUACUUACUUAUAUUAAUUUUACUUUUUACUAUAAUAAAAAUCAUUACAUUUAAAUAAAUAAAGUAUUUUAAAAGAAAAAAAAAUUACUAAAAAAUAAAAUUUAAAAUUUGUACCUUGUGUAUAAUGGCUUAGUAAGAUUUUAUUAAAUUUAAUUUAUCCCGAAAAUUUUUCGAGCUAAUUUCUUUUUGUUUAGAACUAAUUAUAUUAUAUUACAAAAUAAUUAAAAAAAAAGGAAUUAGAAGCUACAUACUUUCCGCGAUAAUUUAUAGCUGGUUUCUUACUAUCUCUAUUUAAGUAGACAUAAUUAUUUAUUAUCAUAAAAAAUAAAGGUAAAGCUUUAUUUUAAUUGCUAAAAAUUUUUAAAAAAAUAUUUAUUGUAAUAUUAAUAGUUUAUAUCAAUUUAUAUUGUUUUACAUCUAAAAUUUUUAAUAACUUUUAAAUUAAUCAAAAUUUCUGCAUAAUACAAUAAGAAAAUUUUAAUAAUUAUAAUAAAAUUAUAUUCUUCUAAGAUUAGUAUUCAUAUUCUAAUUAUAAAAUAAAAAUAAAUUUUAUAUAUUUAUAUAAAAAAACUUAUUUAAAUAAGGAACUCGGCAAACACAAAUUUCGACUGUUUAACAAAAACAUAGCUUUUUGUAUCUAAAAUAAAAAGUAUCUUCUGCCCAAUGAUUAAUUUUAAAUGGCCGCAGUAUCUUAACUGUGCAAAGGUAGCAUAAUCAUUUGCCUUCUAAUUAAAGGCUUGUAUGAAUGAAUAAACGAAAAUUUAACUGUCUCAUUUAAAUUUAUAAAAAUUAAUCUAAAAGUGAAAAAGCUUUUAUUUUAUUAAUGGACAAGAAGACCCUAUUGAGCUUUAUUUUUAAUUAUUUAUUCUUUUUAUAUUUAAAUAAAAUAUUAAAUAAAAUAAAAAUUAGUUGGGGCGACUAAAGAAUAAUAAUACCUUCUUUUUAUUUAAAGGACUAUAAUCCAUAAAAAUGAUCUAAUAUAUUAAUUCACAAAAAAAGCUACCAUAGGGAUAACAGUCUAAUCUUUCUUUAAAGUUCAAAUUAACAGAAAGGAUUGGCACCUCGAUGUUGGCUUAAGAUUUCUUUUUUAUGCAGCAGUAAAAAUAGUAGGUUUGUUCAACCUUUAAAAUCUUACAUGAGCUGAGUUCAGACCGGCGUAAGCCAGGUUAGUUUAUAUCCUUAAUUUAAAAAUAAAUAAAACAGUACGAAAGGACCUUCUAUUUUAAAUAAUUUAAAUAAAUGAAUUAAUCUAAUUUUCUUUAAUUA